rnacentral:rRNA from 1 species
CUACGGGGGGCAGCAGUGGGGAAUAUUGCACAAUGGAGGAAACUCUGAUGCAGCAACGCCGCGUGGAGGAUGACACUUUUCGGAGCGUAAACUCCUUUUAUAUAGGAAGAAGAUGACGGUACUAUAUGAAUAAGCGCCGGCUAACUCCGUGCCAGCAGCCGCGGUAGUACGGAGGGCGCAAGCGUUACUCGGAAUCACUGGGCGUAAAGAGCGUGUAGGCGGAUUAAAAAGUCAGAAGUGAAAUCCUAUAGCUUAACUAUAGAACUGCUUCUGAAACUCUUAAUCUAGAAUGUGGGAGAGGUAGAUGGAAUUUCUGGUGUAGGGGUAAAAUCCGUAGAGAUCAGAAGGAAUACCGAUUGCGAAGGCGAUCUACUAGAACAUUAUUGACGCUGAGACGCGAAGGCGUGGGGAGCAAACAGGAUUAGAUACCCCCGUAGUC